rnacentral:tRNA from 1 species
GGCCUGGUAGCCAAGUGGUAAGGCGUCUCUCUGCAAAAGAGAUAUGCGCGGGUUCAAUUCCCGCCCAGGCCU